GGCUUUCCGCAUUAAUUUAUUUGUUAUCUUUGAGAAGGAAAAGGAAAAAAAAAAAAGCCAAAUCAGAAUCCUGGGUCAUGAUGCCCCAAGCCAGGGUGGUUUUAUUUUCCCCAGGUUUUUUAAGGUUAUCGAUUCUUCUUGUGGGUGAGACUUGUAUCCAGUUCAUAAGAACAACUGUUUCUUGUGGGAAAGAAACAGAACAAACAGGCAGCAGAAGAAUGUGUUCUGGGCGUUUUUCAGGUUUGCCCUCUGCAGUCCUUCGGGUUGAGCUGAUUUGAUGUAGCUAAACCCUUGGCAGAGGGCUCCUGUUUUCCAGCAUCUGGGCCUGAGCUCCGUGGAAAGGGCCAAGAGCUGGUGGAGAGUUCAUACUCUGUGACUUUGCGAGAGAUCUUUGAGAAUGCUAUUCCUCCACAGAUGACACCGUCCCCUUCCUGAGAAUCUCUGCUGGGCUCCCAUUUAAAUAUUCAAACUAGACCAGUGAUUCCCCUUCCAGGCAAAAAAAGAAAAAAAAAAAAAAAAAAAGCCGCCAAGUUCCUUGAAUUAGAGAACAAUGAUAACAACAAUAAUAACAAUAAUAUUCUAUUAUCUUCUUAUACAUAAAAUAGAAAAAUAACAUCAACACAACUCACAUUUAUUCAGUACAAGGUGGCAAAACUCUCUUCUACUGACUUCUCUGGUGAUUCAGGGGCUUCGACCCCACAUUCCCAAUGCAGGGGGCCUGGGUUCAAUCCGCGGUCAGGGAACUAGCUCCCACAUGCUGCUCCCGUAUGCUGCAAUGAAGGCUGAAGAUCCCAUGUGCAGCAACUAAGACCCGGUGUAGCCAAUUAUUAAAAACAAAGAAACAAAAAACCCUUCUUCUAAAUUAACAUUGGCUUCCCUAACCCAUGUGCCCCUUCUUGCUACCUGUGCUUUUAAACAAAUGGGCACCAGGACAUCUUCUGGGUAAGAAAUUCCUGGAUCUUGGUGAUUCAGCAAAACUGACUGGGCACAGUCUGGUCUCACUUGCUCACAGGCCCCAAGGACAGAGGCCUCGCACCCAGACCUUCAGACCAGAGUUCUGAGUUGAAAGGGCUGCCCAGUACCUCAGCACCAAGCACAGCACUGCUAUUCAAGAUGGCAGCAGCUAAUGCAGAGACGCUGCCCGAGGCAUUGUGGUCCAGAGCCGGGAACUGGGCCCCAACCCCGCCCGCUCCCAGCUGGCAGGAUCUAUAAAGCAGCCCCACCUGUCUGAGAGACCGUGGACUCUAGAUCCAGAGCUCACAUCUUUUGGUUUUUUGAUCAAAGAAUAGUUUUUUCUUUGCUUCUAAACCAAACUCAGUCUCAUUCUGUUGGCUCUAAUGACACCAGUCAGGAGGAUCCUUAUUGGGGACUGACUUGGGAGGGCUGGCAACAAAACUGUGUUAUAAAAGAAAUUAGUCAGCGCAAGCAGACUUGGUCAGUAACAUUUUAUUUCCUGAUAAGGAGGACGGGGACCUGCUCUUGAGAAACACACUAAAAAAGCUGGGCCAAAAGACCCUGAAGCCAUUCAGAGGCGUUCACGCUCCAGCAGGAGUGGGGCCCGGGCCAUGCUGGUUUCAAGUUCCUCAUUGCUACAUAAAUGGCCAAAGGAAACAUUAUCCAAGUUUCACAUCAAAGGCUAAUGGCAGGCUGAUUUUCCUUUUAAUCUGUCCAAUAAGCAAGUGGGGAUUAGACAAUGUACAUGCUUAGGAAGACGACUUCAUGCUGCUCGAGUGGACUUGCCCAUGCUCUCGUCUCCAGCCUGUCCGCACUAAGGAGCAGAGUUGUGUGUGUGCAGCCUAGUGUCUCAGACCAGUGGAAGAGAUCCAUCAUCCGUGACGUUUAAUUCUCACACAGUAUCGUGUGGUGUGCAGGGCAGGAUUGAUCAUUUGGAUCCUACACAGGAGGAAGUGGAGGCCCGCAGAAGUUAUAUGACUUACCCCAAGACACACGAAUGCAGACUGGCCAGGCUGGGACCCCAGCUGAGGACUUUUGGUCACUUCUCUGACCCUCUGAUGCCAUGUGCUUUUCACUCUGCCGUGUUGCUAAUGGGCUAUUUCUCUGUGCAAAGUUGUCACUCUGGGUUACCUAAAGGACCUGGAAAAGGUCUGUUAUCCUUCCAUAAAUUGAAGGUACAUGCCUGGCAAGGAGUUACAGUGAGACAGCAGAGAAAACUAUCAGCUCUUGGCUGAGUUGCCAUAUUAGACCGUGAGCUUCACGACGGCAGUUACCAGGCCUGGCUCGCUCUGUAUCCCAGAACCUGGCAUAGUAAACACCUGCAGAGGGAGGGAAGGGGAGAGAAUGGGAGGGACGAAGGGAGGUUAAUUUCUUAGGAUCACUGGCCUGCUGUGUUGGCUCCUCUCAUUAGAUUAUCACAGGUGCUCGAGAUGAGUCCUAGGAUAGGACUUUGCAUAAUAUGAUUUUUCUGGUCUCAUUCUGGCUGCAUUAG
ensembl:lncRNA